UACAGAGGGUGCAAGCGUUGUUCGGAAUUAUUGGGCGUAAAGAGCUCGUAGGCGGUUCGUCGCGUCGGCUGUGAAAACCCGGAGCUCAACUCCGGGCCUGCAGUCGAUACGGGCGGACUUGAGUUCGGCAGGGGAGACUGGAAUUCCUGGUGUAGCGGUGAAAUGCGCAGAUAUCAGGAGGAACACCGGUGGCGAAGGCGGGUCUCUGGGCCGAUACUGACGCUGAGGAGCGAAAGCGUGGGGAGCGAACAGG
rnacentral:rRNA from 1 species